rnacentral:rRNA from 1 species
CACGUAGGGUGCGAGCGUUGUCCGGAAUUAUUGGGCGUAAAGAGCUCGUAGGCGGUGUGUCGCGUCGGCCGUGAAAACCUGCAGCUUAACUGUGGGCUUGCGGUCGAUACGGGCAUCACUGGAGUUCGGCAGGGGAGACUGGAAUUCCUGGUGUAGCGGUGAAAUGCGCAGAUAUCAGGAGGAACACCGGUGGCGAAGGCGGGUCUCUGGGCCGGUACUGAC